UCCGUAGGUGGAUAAUUAAGUCAGAGGUGAAAGUCUGCAGCUCAACUGUAGAAUUGCCUUUGAUACUGGUUAUCUUGAGUUAUUAUGAAGUAGUUAGAAUAUGUAGUGUAGCGGUGAAAUGCAUAGAUAUUACAUAGAAUACCAAUUGCGAAGGCAGAUUACUAAUAAUCAACUGACACUGAUGGACGAAAGCGUGGGGAGCGAACAGGAUUAGAUACCCUGGUAGUCC
rnacentral:rRNA from 1 species